rnacentral:rRNA from 1 species
AUUGAACGCUGGCGGCAGGCCUAACACAUGCAAGUCGAGCGGAUGACGGGAGCUUGCUCCUUGAUUCAGCGGCGGACGGGUGAGUAAUGCCUAGGAAUCUGCCUGGUAGUGGGGGACAACGUUUCGAAAGGAACGCUAAUACCGCAUACGUCCUACGGGAGAAAGCAGGGGACCUUCGGGCCUUGCGCUAUCAGAUGAGCCUAGGUCGGAUUAGCUUGUUGGUGAGGUAAUGGCUCACCAAGGCGACGAUCCGUAACUGGUCUGAGAGGAUGAUCAGUCACACUGGAACUGAGACGCGGUCCAGACUCCUACGGGAGGCAGCAGUGGGGAAUAUUGGACAAUGGGCGAAAGCCUGAUCCAGCCAUGCCGCGUGUGUGAAGAAGGUCUUCGGAUUGUAAAGCACUUUAAGUUGGGAGGAAGGAUUGUAGAUUAAUACUCUGCAAUUUUGACGUUACCGACAGAAUAAGCACCGGCUAACUCUGUGCCAGCCGCCGCAGUAAGAC